GACUUUUGAAACUAAUGUUUUAUCUCGCACAAGUCUUCCUCCAAUUCCAAAAAAACAUGUCCCAAAUUAAUUAAAUUUAUUUAUUUGCGUUUUGCUAUGUUUUUAUUCAAAUUGCAUCAAUAGGAAUUGAAACGAGUCAACGUAAUUUAUAUGUGCUGUAUUACCUAAAUCAAGAAGCAUUAUGUAAUAAAAAGACCUCUAAUUAUGACCAAUAAACGUCUGUCAACUAAAAUUUUACACGAAUGGUUGCCACUUCUACGUUGAAUGUAAAGCGACAAUUUGAAUCCGCAACUUGCACAAAUUGCUAGUUUAAUUGUAAUGAUAUAAAAUAUUAAUAAAAAAUACAAUAAGUAGGAAA